rnacentral:rRNA from 1 species
GUGGGGAAUAUUGCACAAUGGGCGAAAGCCUGAUGCAGCAACGCCGCGUGAAGGAAGAAGGCCCUUGGGUCGUAAACUUCUGUUCUAAGGGAAGAUAAUGACGGUACCUUAGGAGCAAGUCCCGGCUAACUACGUGCCAGCAGCCGCGGUAAUACGUAGGGGGCGAGCGUUAUCCGGAAUUAUUGGGCGUAAAGAGUACGUAGGUGGUUAUCUAAGCGAGGGGUUUAAGGCAAUAGCUCAACUAUUGUUUGCCCCGCGAACUGGGUGACUUGAGUGCUGGAGAGGAAAGCGGAAUUCCUAGUGUAGCGGUGAAAUGCGUAGAUAUUAGGAGGAACAUCAGUGGCGAAGGCGGCUUUCUGGACAGUAACUGACACUGAGGUACGAAAGUGUGGGGAGCAAACAGGAUUAGAAACCCCGGUAGUCC